rnacentral:rRNA from 1 species
CGGCAGCACAGUAAGAGCUUGCUCUUAUGGGUGGCGAGUGGCGGACGGGUGAGGAAUACAUCGGAAUCUACCUUUUCGUGGGGGAUAACGUAGGGAAACUUACGCUAAUACCGCAUACGACCUUCGGGUGGAAGCAGGGGACCUUCGGGCCUUGCGCGGAUAGAUGAGCCGAUGUCGGAUUAGCUAGUUGGCGGGGUAAAGGCCCACCAAGGCGACGAUCCGUAGCUGGUCUGAGAGGAUGAUCAGCCACACUGGAACUGAGACACGGUCCAGACUCCUACGGGAGGCAGCAGUGGGGAAUAUUGGACAAUGGGCGCAAGCCUGAUCCAGCCAUACCGCGUGGGUGAAGAAGGCCUUCGGGUUGUAAAGCCCUUUUGUUGGGAAAGAAAAGCAGUCGGCUAAUACCCGGUUGUUCUGACGGUACCCAAAGAAUAAGCACCGGCUAACUUCGUGCCAGCAGCCGCGGCAAUACGAAGGGUGCAAGCGUUACUCGGAAUUACUGGGCGUAAAGCGUGCGUAGGUGGUUGUUUAAGUCUGUUGUGAAAGCCCUGGGCUCAACCUGGGAAUUGCAGUGGAUACUGGGCGACUAGAGUGUGGUAGAGGGUAGUGGAAUUCCCGGUGUAGCAGUGAAAUGCGUAGAGAUCGGGAGGAACAUCCAUGGCGAAGGCAGCUACCUGGACCAACACUGACACUGAGGCACG